GAUGAACGCUGGCGGCGUGCCUAAUACAUGCAAGUCGAGCGAACAGACGAGGAUCUUGCUCCUCUGACGUUAGCGGCGCACGGGUGAGUAACACGUGGAUAACCUACCUAUCAGACUGGGAUAACUUCGGGACACCGGAGCUAAUACCGGAUAAUAUAUUGAACCGCAGGGUUCAAUAGUGAAAGACGGUUUUGCUGUCACUUCUAGAUGGAUCCGCGCCGCAUUAGCUAGUUGGUACGGUAACGGCUUACCAAGGCAACGAUGCGUAGCCGACCUGAGAGGGUGAUAGGCCACACUGGAAGUGGGACACGGUCCAGACUCCUACGGGAGGCAGCCGUAGGGAAUCUUCCGCAAUGGGCGAAAGCCUGACGGAGCAACGCCGCGUGAGUGAUGAAGGUCUUCCGAUCGUAAAGCUGUGUUAUUAGGGAAGAACAAAUUUGUAAGUAACUAUGCACGUCUUGACGGUACCUAAUCAGAAAGCCACGGCUAACUACGUG
rnacentral:rRNA from 1 species